rnacentral:rRNA from 1 species
CAGGACGAACGCUGGCGGCGUGCUUAACACAUGCAAGUCGAACGAUGACGGUGGUGCUUGCACCGCCUGAUUAGUGGCGAACGGGUGAGUAACACGUGAGUAACCUGCCCUCCACUUCGGGAUAACCUCGGGAAAUCGUGGCUAAUACCGGAUAUGAGCACUCAUCGCAUGGUGGGUGUUGGAAAGAUUUAUCGGUGGGGGAUGGACUCGCGGCCUAUCAGUUUGUUGGUGAGGUGAUGGCUCACCAAGACGAUGACGGGUAGCCGGCCUGAGAGGGCGACCGGCCACACUGGGACUGAGACACGGCCCAGACUCCUACGGGAGGCAGCAGUGGGGAAUAUUGCACAAUGGGCGAAAGCCUGAUGCAGCGACGCCGCGUGGGGGAUGACGGCCUUCGGGUUGUAAACCCCUUUCAGUAGGGAAGAAGCGAGAGUGACGGUACCUGCAGAAGAAGCGCCGGCUAACUACGUGCCAGCAGCCGCGGUAAUACGUAGGGCGCAAGCGUUGUCCGGAAUUAUUGGGCGUAAAGAGCUUGUAGGUGGCUUGUCGCGUCUGCCGUGAAAACCCGAGGCUCAACCUCGGGCGUGCGGUGGGUACGGGCAGGCUAGAGUGUGGUAGGGGAGACUGGAACUCCUGGUGUAGCGGUGAAAUGCGCAGAUAUCAGGAAGAACACCGAUGGCGAAGGCAGGUCUCUGGGCCAUUACUGACACUGAGAAGCGAAAGCAUGGGUAGCGAACAGGAUUAGAUACCCUGGUAGUCCAUGCCGUAAACGUUGGGCACUAGGUGUGGGGGACAUUCCACGUUUUCCGCGCCGUAGCUAACGCAUUAAGUGCCCCGCC